rnacentral:rRNA from 1 species
AUCUGACGGAGCACGCCGCGUGAGUGAUGACGGCCUUCGGGUUGUAAAGCUCUGUGAUCGGGGACGAAUGGCUGGUAUGCUAAUACCAUAUCAGAGUGACGGUACCCGAAUAGCAAGCCACGGCUAACUACGUGCCAGCAGCCGCGGUAAUU